rnacentral:lncRNA from 1 species
GUUGCAGUUUUAGAAAGCACAUUAUUUUUUUUUUUUUAUCUUACGAGUAAUAUAUAAGAAAUUUUUUUUUUCUCUUUGUAGGUUGAAGGAGUUGGACAUUGCAAUUAUUUUUUAUGGACUGACGAUGUGCAACACAGUACUUUAGAUCUAAAAUAUCAGCUAAAAGCAAUUGGAGAAGCCACUGAGCAAAAAAUUCAAAGAAUGGAAGUGAAAGUUCUAUUUUGGCUUAAAUUACUUUUCUGUAUUGUAAUCCUUGAUAUACUGAUAAGGGGAGUAUUUUAGAUAUGAUGGAUGGACUAUAUAAUACAGAAUGUGAUGGAGUAUUAUAUAAUUUUCAUGUAAUUGGGUUGGUUUACAGGAUGCAAUUACAACACUGUAUCUCUGUUAAAGAAGUAUUUAUAUAGGAUGUCUUAUUUAAGCUCUAUAUAUAUUUGCAAUUGGGGCAAUUGCCUAUAUACCCCUGAAAAGUAAUUGCAAUUGGGGCAAUUUGCAAUUACUUGGAUUACAUCAUAGCAGAGACAAUUGCUCAUAUACCAACAAUUCCAUCAUCAUCCAAAAAUAAAAGUCAUCAUGAAUAACAAUUGUAUCAUGAAUAACAAUAAUAUCAUUCAAGCUCCAAAAAAUAAGUCACCACAUCCAGUAAAUAACAGGGUCAUCAUCAGUCAAAAAAUUACAGGCCAUCAUCAUCAUCCAAAAAAUUACAGGUCAUCAUCAUCAUCCAAAAAAUUACAGGCCAUCAUCAUCCAAAAAAUUACAGGCCAUAAUCAUCCAUCAUCAUCCAAAAAAUAAUAGGAUCAUCAUCAUCUAAAAAAUAACAGAGCAUUCAUCCAAAAGAUAACAGAGCAUUCUUAACAUGAACUGACUCUCAACCUAGCAAUCUAUUUGCAUCAAU